AAAUGGUUUGACACCUCCACCUCCAUCACUAAGUUUGUUGUCCUCACUCUUGAUUAUCUGAAGGAAAAAAAUAUUGUUACUUCAAUACGUAGAAGCUUUUCAAGAAAAUCAAAAGAAUCACCACAUAUGACCACUGUUAGAGUCAUACAUUCUGAGCCCAUCAACCUCAUCUUUCUUGUUCACACAAUUAUGUCUCUACGCUGAUCAAUCAUUGUUAACUUUGUCACCAAAUUUUUGACCACAUACAUCUUGAUUUCUUCUGUUUCUGCCUCGACUUAAGGAG